rnacentral:snoRNA from 1 species
UCAGCUUAAAAAGAAAGUAGGAUGAGAAGAAAGCUACAUAGCCUCAGACUUCUGGGGACUGAAAAACAAGUAAGUGGGUGGCCUGGGGGAGCAUAGGGCUCUGCCCCAUGGCGUGCAGUCCCUUUCUACAACGCUGGAGAUGAAGCUGGGCCUUGGGCCUGCAUAUUCCUACGACUUCUCAGCAUCCUGUGGACCAUGACUGAGGAGAUAAACCAUGCAGGAGAUGAUC